rnacentral:rRNA from 1 species
CUGACCCCAUGCCGAACUCAGAAGUGAAACGCCGUAGCGCCGAUGGUAGUGUGGGGUCGCCCCAUGCGAGAGUAGGGAAGUGCCAGGC